rnacentral:lncRNA from 1 species
AGGAAUCGAACCUGUGCCAUAGCAGUGACCUUAGCCACAGCAGUGAUAACACUGGAUCUUUACCCCACUGUGCCACCAGGGAACUCUCAGGCUAAAGGGCAACUGCUCUACCUUCACUGCUUUUAUAGCUAUAAUGAUGUUUUAGUGUUUAGCAUAUAAUAGGUGUUCAAUAAAUUUGUAUUUGUUUACCUGUGGAGAACAAUCUUUGUAACAUGCAUAUUACUAUUCUGUUCAACAUUUUCAUUAGCAAUUUGAAAGAUGUUGAAGGCAUGCUUAAAUGCACCAAUGGCAGAAAAGACAAAGUAUAUCAAAGACAAAUGUAAGGUUUUUUAAAAUAAACAACUGUUGAAUCAGCAUUUCAUAUAAAAUGAAACCAAGGUUCUAGUUACUUACAUAUUAAUGUGAUCCAAUAAUAGGACAAAGGAUAUCAACAAGUGUUAUCUUCAGAUACAAGAAUCAAAAUGGCACAGCUUUCUAUUUGUACUAGGAAUAAGUCAGCAACUGGGCUAAAUCUGGCCCACUGCUUGUUUUUUGCAAAUAAAGUUUUAUUGGGAUAUAGCUACAUGCAUUUACUUAUGUAUUAGCUAUGAAUGCUUUUGCAAUAUAACAACAGAGUUGAGUAUUUGCAUCUGAGGUCAUAAGGCCUGCAAAGCUGAAAGUAUUUACUACCUGGCCCUUUGCAGAAAAGUUUGUCAACCCCUAUUCUACUCUAAAUCUCACUCUCCCCAUCUUCCUUAGUAAUAGGACCUACAACAGUUAUCUACACAUACUUUUGCUUAAAGACUGCAUUUCUUGGUAUCCUCUGCAUCAGGUGUUUCACAUGACUGUAUUCUGGCCAGUGAGAUCUAUGUAGAAGAAUUUUGUUUCAGCUUUCUCAAAUCUUUGUUAAAAGAUAUCCCCUUCACCUUUAUGCUGGUUGGAAAUUAAACCUGAUAGCUAGAGCUCAAACAGUCAUCUGGGUCCAUGUAUAAAGGCUUAGGUUUGGCAGCCAAGACCUGAAAGGGACCUAAGAUCCUAAGUCCCAGAUGACUUUGUGAAAUCUCCAUAAUAACCCUUCACUGCCAAUUACAAGACAUUUUAAAAAAUAAUUCAUAAAAAAGUAUUGGUAUGUUUGGUCCACUGUUCAUUUGGAUGUUCUGUCACUUAUACAUGAACUUAUCCUAAUAGAUAGCACUGUAUAAUGUCCAGAUCUUAGGACUGAUCCUGCUAGUUCAAACUAUCUGGAGUCUUUCUUGCCUUGCGGAGUUACAGAACUCUCCAUCACUGCAAGGUUUUAAGUCGAUCCUGAAUAACCACCUGUCAGACAAGUGAUGCAGAGUUCCCUGAAUUGGAUGGAGGUUAAAUUAUAUGACCUCCCAAGAUUCUAAGUUGGAUAUUCCUGGACCGUAUUUUUCUUUAUUAAUGGAAAGUGUUAAAUGGGUUCUCAGUUCAAGCACUUAAAAUGAUUAAAGUAACCAGCCAGGAAGCCAAGCUGCCAAAAUGGAAAAUGCAGAGGGAGUAAAAUAUCAGUACAAUUUUAACUUUCUAUUUGCAGCAAAGCAAUGAUUCAGAUGGUACAUUAGGCUCUCAUUGAGGAAAUCACUGAUACUAUAUCAGAUGACAAAACCUCCUGUCCAAUAAGUUGGAACUAUCCAUUUUCAUAGAAAUGCUGGGACAAGGGAAAUAUCAUUACUCCAUAUGGGCGAUUCCUUUAGCAUAAAAUGUACAGACCGUAGUUAAACUGAGCCCAUCACAAACACCAAUAAUCUAUAAAUAACUUUAUGUAUGCUCUAAUAAAACAUGAAAAAGUAGGAAAUUCUUGGACUAGCAGAGGAUAAUAGUCAGGGAUU